rnacentral:rRNA from 1 species
GACGAACCGUGCGAACGUUAUUCGGAAUCACUGGGCUUAAAGCGCGUGUAGGCGGGCCGGCGCGUCGGUCGCUGAAAUCCCCCGGCUCAACCGGGGAAGGGGCGCCGAUACGGCCGGCCUGGAGGGGAGUAGGGGGGCCUGGAACUUCCGGUGGAGCGGUGAAAUGCGUUGAGAUCGGAAGGAACGCCCGUGGCGAAAGCGAGGCCCUGGACUCCUGCUGACGCUGAGACGCGAAAGCCAGGGGAGCGAACGGG